CACAAUGACACACAUAAACAUACCCAAUGAGAAAACACUGGCACACAUAGAUACAGACACACAGACUGACACAUAAUGUACAGACAGGCAAAAACACUUUCACACAUGCAGAUACACUGAUGUAAACACUGACACACAUACAGUUGAACAGACACAUUGAUGCACAUACUUGCAUACAUGCAUAUACCCACACUGACAUACAUAUAUUUGCACGGACAUACUUAUACACACACUAACACAUAUACAAAUGUAAAAACACAUAGGUACAAACACUGCCACACCUGCAGACAAACAGAUGGCAACACUACUAUACAUACAGUUUAACAGACAUGCUGAUAAACACACUGCCACACAUGUGUUAUGGACAGAUGAAUUAAAAUAAAAUGGCUAUUUACUAAUGUCUAUUUAUUCUGUGUUCACUAUGUUAAAACUGGC